UACAGAGGUCUCAAGCGUUGUUCGGAUUCAUUGGGCGUAAAGGGUGCGUAGGCGGCGCGGUAAGUCGGGCGUGAAAUGCCGGGGCUCAACCCCGGGACUGCGUCCGAUACUUCCGAGCUGGAGGUAGGUAGGGGAGAUCGGAAUUCCUGGUGUAGCGGUGAAAUGCGCAGAUAUCAGGAGGAACACCGGUGGCGAAGGCGGAUCUCUGGGCCUUACCUGACGCUGAGGCGCGAAAGCUAGGGGAGCGAACAGG
rnacentral:rRNA from 1 species